GAAAUGCGAUAAGUAGUGUGAAUUGCAGAAUUCAGUGAAUCAUCGAAUCUUUGAACGCACAUUGCGCCCUUUGGUAUUCCUUAGGGCUUGCCUGUUCGAGCGUCAUCUAAACCUUCAAGCCCUGCUUGGUGUUGGGUGCCUGUCCCGCCUCCGCGCGCGGACUCACCUCAAAUCCAUUGGCGGCCCCCGCGUCGGCCACGAGCGCAGCAGAAACGCGAACUCGUGAGCCCGUCCGGGCGGCUCCCAGAAGCUACACCCACCCAGUUUGACCUCGGAUCAGGUAGGGAUACCCGCUGAACUUAAGC
rnacentral:misc_RNA from 1 species